AAAUGUUUUGCUGAUUGGAGAGAAUGGAAUAGCGAGGGAAGAAAAUUGGUGCUAAAUUCUGAGCACUCCUGCUCAAACCCCUUUGGGGGGGGAGGACAUGGGAAGGAACCGGGAGCAGACAUUCCAGGAAUUCUGACUUAUAACCAAUAGCAGUGGUAGAGAAGCAGGCAGAGGUGCUGCCUCUGACCUGAAAGUACUGCUCGGAGGUGGACAUCUGCUAUGCAGCUCUGAAGUGGAAGGUCCUCGGUGUUCAGGCUGCUCUCCUUCACGUGUCACCUCCUGACACUGGGAGAUAUCCCAAGGCUGAAAAGGAAAGUGAAAGCCCUCUGCCAUGCCCGUUUCCCCAUAGCAAUGCUUGUUCACCUGGAGAGCUUGCACAGAGCAGUGGACUGGGAAGGCUCUGGCUUUCCAGAGGUCAAGCAGUUUAAGAAUCUUGGCAGGAUGAAAAAAAAGCAGGAUUCAUCCCCCUAAUUGCUCUGUCUCUCUGGCCACCACGUCAUCCUGCUUCGGCCCAAGGUCAGUAACUUUCCUAAAUCAUCAUAUCCCAGAAUGCCACGGAGGACGCAUGGAACUCAUGCUGAAACGCACAGCCUUUGCACGAACACCCAUCGCCUCCUCGGCUUUGCCUCUCCACUCGAGAGUCCGUGCAGUUCUUGUUUUGCAGAAAAAGGAAGAACAGCGCUGAUGUAAUGACAGGAUUCUGGGAGCUGGAGAUUUAUGGGGGAAAAGUGGGAACACAUCCUCCCCUGUACACUGGGAGCAGCACAACCAACCUGCAGUUAAACAUUGACGAGUUGCCUCCGCAGUGGAUUUCCAGGAAUCUAUUGAGAUAAGUGCAAGCCAUGGAAACAGCUCUUAAUCCACCUCCUGCCAAUUCCUUAAUACCUGUGCUUUAUUCCUUCCCAUCGGUGAUUGGAUCAGCAGCUCUUUGGAAGUCGAAGUGGCACAAGUGCUUUGCUUUGGUCUCUCUCACAGGGGGCCGUCAGAAAAGGACGCGAGAGAAAUGAAAUCUGUUAUUCUGGUGACUGCAUCGCCCUACGAGGGGUGAUGGGCAAAGGGAAACCCAGGGACCGCUCCUCUGCUCAGCAAUACCGAAUCCCCUAUCUCAGUUCCAAUAAGUAAUUCGUUCCACGUUCUGUCCAAGACUGGAGUUCAAAAUACAAUGAGAGAACACAUCUGUGAAUUUUUCUGCUAUUCACGAAGGUACUCAACUUGCCCAACAGCCCCUCCGCCGUCACACGCUGUAUCUCAAGGCCUUCUGGGACUCCAUUUUUGAGCCAAAACUGUGCCCACGAGAGACGUCACCUCCUGCCUGAUGAGCCUUUUCCCCUUUCCUGGCCCUGCGGUGUGCCAGCGGAGCAGGUCAUGGGACAGCCUGCCCCAGACUGCACCCACCGCAUCUCCGUGCGGUCCUUUCUCGCCUCUGAUUCUUUUUUGGAGAGGCCAGAUUUUGACCAUAAAAGGGAAGAAUGGAAUGUUGGGCGACACGCCAUGCCCCGAUUGGCUGAGCACCUACCCGUGAUGGUUUCGGGGGAAAUAACCAGGUCGGAGUCAUUUUCCUCUCCCCCCACCCCGAGCCGAGAACGAAAACAAUGCGACCAAACCGUGUGGUUCACCAUUGAAACCAAGGCAGGACUUUUUGUGUCUGUGCCUCCUAUUGCUCUUGGUUCCACCUGCAUGAAACCGAGCCCUCGCUUCUGGGUGUGCACGGCAGCUCUGUUUCCCAUCCAACAUCUCUGUGGCCGCCACCGGUUGAUGCUAUCUUGGAGAUGAAUGGGAGCGACCUGGUGGCCACGUUGGCCAGGAACCACAACUGCCUCCAGCCAACCUGGCAGCCCUUCUGUUGGGAGAACCCGAGAUCCUCCUUCUUGUGGUUGUCCAUCCCAUUUCCACAACCAAAACCCGUCAGAACAAAGCGCCUUUGUGCUUGGACAUCCCUCCCACCCAGCUGCCUUGUGACUGCCCUCGUUAGAUCACUUCUGUGGCUAAAAUAGGACUUUACUCUUGUGAGUCAUUUGCCUGAACCUGCCACCAGCACUGACUUACAACCUUUAAUAAAAAAUGAUAAAGAAGCUGAGAGGGUUUCCUGGAAACAUUGUCAGCCUUGAGUUGGGAGCAGAUGCUGGCAGCGAGCAAAGUUCUUUUAAGCCAUAAAGGCAUUUUCCUGUUUAAUGAUUACCCUGAGAAAUCUUGAGGCUGAAUCAGGAUGUUUGUGAUCAGCUUCACCCUUCUGGGAAGGCCGCACCCAGAGAAAUUCUUCUCUCAUUGCCUUCACCCAGUCAGAACGGGGUGGUGGUGUGGGUAACGCUGGCCCUGGAGCCAUAAGCUGUUCCCAGUUGUCACCAAUUUCUUCCUGUUUGCCCUCCAUUUGGGGCAGCUCCGGUGCCAGUCCUACCAGGCUCUGAGCAAGCCCUGGUUGAGAAGAAAUUCUUCUAUUAGCAGUCAUCCCAAGGCAUAGGGUUUAUCCUACAAAAACUCUUCUAGACCUCCUGCUUGCAGGAAUCCUUUUUGCAAGGGAAACGUUCCCAGCGCUGGUUGUUCCAGUGCUCAUGGAAGCCUCCUUGGUACCCAGUGCAAAUCUUCUUCCCUAUUGCUCCUCCACGUCAGCGUUCUCCCUCUUUGUGGGGCAGCACUUUGCAGAUAAGCUCCAGAGACGUUUCACCAUCACCCACCUUUCCAUCAGGCCACUUGCUCUGCCCUCACCCAUGGGUACCAUUGCUCUCCCAUGGCAGCAGUGCCUUGCAUCACUUCACCACCUGCUGCAAUCCCUCUUGCUGGUGCUACCGCAGCGGCGAGCACUGAGACCUAUCGCAGCAUCACUGCUUGUCCCCACAAAACCAGAGGGGAACCAAAGCAUCUUACUCACUGGCAUCGGAGCAGUGCACCCCAUCACCUCCCUCCUGUUGGGCAGCGGUUUGGGAGAGGAGGAAGAAGUGGCUGUGCUCAUUCUGGGGCAGAGAGCUUGUUCCUGGUGUCAUCCUCCACCAUUGUGGGUUACCUGCAAUGCUUUGGUUUCGGGUUUUGGAGAGCCAAAGCCUGGAAGGAGCCUUUUUUGCAAGAUAAGGAUGAAGGUGGCACUCAGAGAGUUGUUAUCUGUGUGGCUCAGGGCUAUGCUGG
ensembl:lncRNA